rnacentral:rRNA from 1 species
UCCUACGGGAGGCAGCAGUUGGGCGAAAGCCUGAUCCAGCCAUGCCGCGUGAGUGAUGAAGGCCCUAGGGUUGUAAAGCUCUUUCAACGGUGAAGAUAAUGACGGUAACCGUAGAAGAAGCCCCGGCUAACUUCGUGCCAGCAGCCGCGGUAAUACGAAGGGGGCUAGCGUUGUUCGGAAUUACUGGGCGUAAAGCGCACGUAGGCGGAUUGUUAAGUUAGGGGUGAAAUCCCAGGGCUCAACCCUGGAACUGCCUUUAAUACUGGCAAUCUCGAGUCCGAGAGAGGUGAGUGGAAUUCCGAGUGUAGAGGUGAAAUUCGUAGAUAUUCGGAGGAACACCAGUGGCGAAGGCGGCUCACUGGCUCGGUACUGACGCUGAGGUG